rnacentral:rRNA from 1 species
UACGUAGGUGACAAGCGUUGUCCGGAUUUACUGGGCGUAAAGAGCGCGCAGGCGGUCGAUCAAGUCGAGUGUGAAAGCCCCCCGGCUCAACUGGGGAGGGUCAUUCGAUACUGAUCGACUCGAAGGCAGGAGAGGGUAGUGGAAUUCCCGGUGUAGUGGUGAAAUGCGUAGAUAUCGGGGAGGAACACCAGUGGCGAAGGCGGCCACCUGGACGGAUACUGACGCUGAGACGCGAAAGCGUGGGUAGCAAACAGG